rnacentral:rRNA from 1 species
CGAGGUAUGUGGUUUAAUUCGACGCUACGCGAAGAACCUUACCUGGGCUUGACAUGCUUGAGAAAGAGCCAAGAAACUGGCUCCCCCAUGACCGCAAGGUCAUGGCUCAUCCACAGGUGCUGCAUGGUUGUCGUCAGCUCGUGUCGUGAGAUGUAAGGUUAAGUCCUUGAACGAGCGCAACCCCUGUCGCUAGUUGCUAACCCGCAAGGGUGCACCCUAGCGAUACUGCCAGCUAAAAGUUGGAGGAAGGAGGGAUGACGUCAAAUCCUCAUGGCCUUUAUGUCCAGGGCUACACACAUGCGACAAUGGUCGGUACAACGGGUCGCAACACCGCGAGGUGAAGCCAAUCCCUAAAAACCGACCUCAGUUCAGAUUGCAGGCUGCAAUUCGCCUGCAUGAAGUCGGAAUCGCUAGUAAUCGCAGGUCAGCAUACUGCGGUGAAUACGUUCCCGGGCCUU